GCGCCCGUAGCUCAGUUGGAAAGAGCGUCGGACUUCGAAUCCGCAGGUCGGGCGUUCGAGUCGCCCCGGGCGUGCCA
rnacentral:tRNA from 1 species